GCUUUCUACCCCCCUGAACCUGCCCAGCUGGAUGCGACGUCCCAGGGGCUUAUGGUCAAGCUAGCUGGUCAGUCUGGCUGAUCCUAGGUGCUUGCCAGAUGUCGAAACCGCUGAUAGCCCUAGCACUCAACCCACGGUGCUGUUUCAUAAUGCAGUAAUUUUGAAAACAUUCUAAAUGAAAAUUUGGAAUCUGAAUUUAAGUCAAUGUGCAGCUGUAUAAUGUGUGACCCCAGUGCAAAAACAGAUCACAACUUGAAGCAAGGCUCUUCUUUUACUUAGACAGUCUGGACUGAGGCUCCUUAAAUGUUAAUUUGUAAAGAAAUCAUCACCAUGUACAUACAGUAGGACCUCUUGGACCAACAGCACCAACGGGACCAACAACACCAGCAGGACCCUGUGAGUUGAAAAAGAAAAACAUAACUGAUCAGCCAAGCCCAAAACUCUCCUCCCCAAGCCCCCAUAGUUCCCAAGUGUGGGGAGGUCACAAGGGAAGCCUACAAAGAUGGCAGCACACAGGGACUGGUAUUUACAAACUUACAGGUUCACCACGGUUUCCAUGUUUUCCAGUGGGACCCACGGGGCCAUGAGGACCAGGUGCGCCCACAGCGCCAACUGGACCAAUGUUGCCAGGGUAACCGCGUUCUCCCUACCAAAGGCAAAGUGAAGUUUAGCAUCAAACUGUUCUGUGUUUUCGUCACUUUUCAACUGGAGAAAGACAGAGAGGUAUACUGACCUUGUGUCCAGGUUGACCGUCGCGGCCUGGGGGACCAUCAUUCCCAGGGUUGCCCUGUGAAGACACCACACCAAUGAAGGCACUUAGUGAGGCUCUUUAACCCACCAGCCCCUAUAGUUCAGCUCCUCCGUCUUCAUCACUCCCAGUGCUCACUAGUGAACCCACUUUCAGACUUAAAAGACAGGAGCAAGAACUUGCCAACCUAGUUUCUUUUAGAGGUGUUUUGGAUAUUUUGGCCAACUUUGAAGCAUGCUCUUCAAAGACCCAUCCAUCCCCCAGUCCAAGUAAUUUUUCGUAUUUUCAAUACCAGGAGUGGUCAGUACAUGCUGAUUUAAUGGAGAAACAGACCAUCUUGUUCCAAAACUUGGAACAAGAGGAACUCAGCUCAGGAUAUGAUGUUGCACAUAAUGAAACACAGCUAGGUUUUCUAGCUAUGUUUAUAUAGUUAGUAUGUAGUCUAGUACGACAAACCAAGCGUCAUACUCACAUCGCGACCAGCUUCACCAGGAGCACCAUUGACUCCAGGUGCGCCCACAGCACCAGAGGGACCACGAGCCCCAGGUGGACCAGAGAUGCCGAGAGGUCCAGGUUCACCCUAGAGGCAGAGAACACAAAACAACAUUCUUCUUAUUGGAUUGAGAGCAAACCUCACCCUUCCUAAACAACCCCGGCGAGGAGAUUCCAGUUUGCAAGGAGAAGGUACAGUGAGACUGAAUGGGUCACAAAAUGGUAAGAAGUGUCAUCAGUGUUAUCCUUGCCCUCAUCCUACACACUCAGAUGGUCAGCUUUAUUGAAUUUUGGAAUGCUGUUCUGUACAGGUGAGCCUAGUUACGUCCGAUAUCCCAAAUGAAAUGAAUUCAUAAAGUUGAGAGAGUUUAUGGAGGUGAGCUGAGCCCUAGCUCCUGUCAUGUAUAGGAUUUAAUGGAAUGAUUCAGAACUUCCAGAGCUUCAUUCUUCCAACAGGAUAAAUGAUGCCAGCAUUUCACACUGCAGAGGAGUAAAUGCAAUUAGAGCUUAUAUAGUUCUUAAGCAUGUAAAAAGAACAAAAAUCAUUCUGCAUAAUAUUAAGCUGUAUCUUUAUAGCGUGUGUCUAAGUAAGGUGGUAUUAAAGCUUCUUAGAUAAGUGACAUGUGAUCUGUAUAAAGAAAAUGCCAUGAAUAAAAAAUCUUAAGUGGAGUUAUUCAGUGAUCAAUCUGUCACAUCUGAAGUGGCAGCUUUUAAAAUCUUUUAUUAUGUUAAUGAGAAUAAGAAUGGUGUCAAACACUUACCACAGAUCCAGAAACACCUGGUAGACCACGUUCACCUCUAGAGCCUGGGAGACCCAGAAUACCAGGAGCACCAAGAAGACCUUGAGGACCAGGGGUUCCAGGGGGUCCCUGAACAAGAGGAAAAAUACCAUUACUAAUAAGCCCCUCAGUGACAAUACGGGUUGGCUUGAGGAUUGUGAGAAUGCGCUAUCCUCGGUUUAGAAAAAAGCUAGUGACCUUCCAUUAGUAGGAUGUAUCCUUGGAUAUCUUUUCUCUAGUGAUGAGUUUCAUGUUGGCAAGUAUAUUUCUUUGUACCCAGUUCCUCCCUGACACCAAUGGAACGACAUUAAAGAAUAUGUGGUUGUGAUUAAUGAAGCCAUCUGGGGUAGUGAAAUAGAGUUUUUAUGGAAUCUAUGCCAAGAUGCAAAUUUUGACCUCGGCCUCUAACUGAACCAGGUCUAAGAAAGACACAUUUCAGAGUAACAACGAUACUGAACAAUGCAUGUUUAAGGAAUUGGUAGCUUGCUGAGAUUUGAUAAAUUUACAAUAGGAUGACCAUGGCAAUGGGAUUCUGUUCAGUUCCCAGUACCAGUAAGGUGCCAUUUUGAUAAAAGAGUGAGUUCCUUCAUUUAUUGUCAUCCCCAUCUCAUGCCUUCUGAGCAACUGCUGAAGCUAUGACACCUCAGUAUCUGUUGGACAGAUUUCCUGGCUCAAAUUGAGCUCUACUUGAAAGCCUGCAACACUCAUCAACAAAUAUAUGCCACUUGAAGAUCUGUAUAAGGCUUUAUUUUAAUUCAACACAAGGUAUUAAGAAAGAGAAGCUUGAAAUCACUUACAGCAGUUCCAGGCUCUCCAGAGGGACCCUUCUCACCAGCAAAGCCAGGGGGACCAGAUGCACCUGUUUCUCCUGUUCGGCCAACUGGACCUUGGUCACCCCGAGGCCCACGAAGUCCUUCUUUACCAGCAGCACCAGGGGGACCAGGAGGGCCAGUGA